rnacentral:rRNA from 1 species
AUAUCCCCAAUGGGGCAAGCUGGGCGCGGAAGGCGGGUGAGCGAGGAAGCCCUUGGGUUGUAAAACUGUUUCUUAAGGAAGAAUAAAUCAGGUACUUGAGGAGAAAGCCCGGUAUAAUUACGUCCCACCAGCCGCGAUAAUAUGUAGGGGCGCAAGCUUUAUCCGAAAUCUCGGGGUGUAAAGGGGGGGUAGGGGGUUCAACAAGUCAGAAGUAAAAGGCAUUGGCUCAACCAAUGUAAGCUUUUGAAACUGUUGAACUUGAGUACAGGAGAGGUAAGUGGAAUUCCUAGUGUAGAGGUGAAAUUCGUAGAUAUUAGGAGGAACACCAGUGGCGAAGGCGACUUACUGGACUGUAACUGACACUGAGGCACGAAAGCGUGGGGAGCGAACAGGAUUAGAUACCCUGGUAGUCCACGCCGUA